rnacentral:tRNA from 2 species
GGCGCGGUAGCUCAGUCGGUAGAGCAAUGGAUUGAAAAUCCAUGUGUCCCCAGUUCGAUCCUGGGCCACGCCACCA